AUUGAACGCUGGCGGCAGGCCUAACACAUGCAAGUCGAACGAGUGGCGGACGGGUGAGUAAUGUCUGGGAAACUGCCCGAUGGAGGGGGAUAACUACUGGAAACGGUAGCUAAUACCGCAUACCAUCGGAUGUGCCCAGAUGGGAUUAGCUAGUAGGUGGGGUAACGGCUCCCCUAGGCGACGAUCCCUAACUGGUCUGAGAGGAUGACCAGCUACACUGGAACUGAGACACGGUCCAGACUCCUACGGGAGGCAGCAGUGGGGAAUAUUGCACAAUGGGCGAAAGCCUGAUGCAGCCAUGCCGCGUGUAUGAAGAAGGCCUUCGGGUUGUAAAGUACUUUCAGCGUGGAGGCGUUACCCGCAGAAGAAGCACCGGCUAACUCCGUGCCAGCAGCCGCGGUAAUUC
rnacentral:rRNA from 1 species